AUUGAACGCUGGCGGCAUGCUUUACACAUGCAAGUCGAACGGGGUUGGGAGCUUGCUUCCAAUCUAGUGGCGAACGGGUGAGUAAUACAUCGGAACGUACCGUGUAGUGGGGGAUAACGUAGCGAAAGUUACGCUAAUACCGCAUACGAUCCACGGAUGAAAGCAGGGGACCUUCGGGCCUUGUGCUAUACGAGCGGCCGAUGUCUGAUUAGCUAGUUGGUGAGGUAAAGGCUCACCAAGGCAACGAUCAGUAGCGGGUCUGAGAGGAUGAUCCGCCACACUGGGACUGAGACACGGCCCAGACUCCUACGGGAGGCAGCAGUGGGGAAUUUUGGACAAUGGGCGCAAGCCUGAUCCAGCCAUGCCGCGUGUCUGAAGAAGGCCUUCGGUGUAAGGACUUUGUCUAGGGAGCGAAAUACCUGGUGGCUAAUAUCCACCGGGAUGAGAGUACCUGAAGAAUAAGACAACCGGCUAACUACGUGCCAGCAGCCGCGGUAA
rnacentral:rRNA from 1 species